AUAAUGGGCAAAAAUCGUCAUUUCAUGUAAUAUUUCACCAACCAUGAGCAAAUCACCUGUACAUUUUAAUAUAAUAAUGAUGAUGAAAAUUAUAGCAGGAUGGAAUUACACCAGCACAAACUAGAUGCAUCGAGAUGAAUAAAUCAUAAAUGUGCCUAGAACAAUAAGGAAUGGAUUGUUUCACCAUGAGAAAAAACAUGAAGAUUGGAGCGGAUUAUGUAUGCAUUCCUAUCCUAUUUUAUUGAACAAUCCAAUCGAAACCGGAACGGAAGUGGGUCCGUUAUUGAAUACUCAGCCAGCAGCAGCAGGCGAAAAAGUGACUAAAACAACCCAUUCCACUCCAUGUACAUGUACAUAAAUUUGGUUGGCAUUGAUUUGUUCAGGGAGUCGCAUGCUUCAGUUAGACUGCUAACAAGCAAAACAAUCAUUUAUAUAAUAAGUACACACGCCCAUUCAUUUGCUGCAACAUGUUGGGGAAAUUUCCAAUAAUCCGGUUCACAUGAUUUUGCAAGUGCUUUUCGCGUGCCGUAGUAUGAAAUCUGUGCAACUCAUGAUCUCAGAUUUUACUGCAUUUUCAUAGCAAAGUUGAUACAAUUAAAAUGUUUAGUUUAGUGAAACCUUUUGCGUUGUUGAGAACUUACUUAAGUCGUAAGUGCUGUCAAGAUAUUUGCCCGAGUUUCAAAUAAUUUUGGUUGUAAAACCAACAUGCUACACAAACAAGGCGCAUUUAUUUUGUGACAUUGUGCAGACACGACACACAAAAUGCUCUAGUUGUACUUAUUUGCACCACCGUCAACCGUGGCAGAAAGAGAGAGAAACUUUCGUUGUGGGCAGUGGCAAAUAUUUUCAAGGAUAAAAAAUCGACUAUUUUUACACUUUCUCGUGAAGCCACAGGAAGUAUAAGAGCAAUCAGGUCCGUGUUGUUCUUCUUCUUCAUCUUGUUCUCAGGUGGUGGUUGGUUCGUUGGUUGGUCUUUGUCACCCGCUUUUGUUCCUUAUUAUUUAUGUGUUUAUUUAUUAUCGGCUUCUUCUUUUUUAUGCUGGCAAUAAUAUAAGCUCGGCCUAAUUUGUUGGACAUCAGUCACUCCGUGUGUCUCAUGCAAAUAAAAGAAAAUCAACAAUAAUAAGGACAAGGGACACACGACGAAUGAAUGAAUGGCCAGUAAAUGAGGGAAAACAGUAUCAAUUGUGCAAACAACAUACAUUGUGCGCACACGAUCAGUUAUAUAUGGAUAGAUAGCUCAGCUCGCGGUGGUGGCUCUGAAAUGUGCGAAAAACACAUUUUGAGCACGCUUAAAUUCGUUUUAUCCCAUUUCGGGGUCGUGGGUUCCAAUACUAGUCGGGGCAAUUGCUUUUUUUGCAUUUUUGUUUACUGGCUUAGACAGUAUUUGGGACAGAGGUUUCAAAAAUGACCACUAUUUUGACCAAUGAUUAACUGCUUCAAAUUUGCUCAUGUUUAAUGCAUAUUAAGCAUAUAUGCAAAUUCAUAUGUACCUGUAUGUAUAAAUACUUAAACUCAUAAAUUUUUUGGGGGGUAAUGUAAGAUUUCUAGCUUUUAGCGAAUGUUGAAUGUCGAUCAUUUUGUUAGCUUCGCACAGUGCUAGGGAGCCAUCCUAGCUACCAAUCCUAGCUAGCCAUCCUAGGUAGCAAUCCUAGCUAGCCAUCCUAGCUAGCCAUCCUAGGUAGCAAUCCUAGGUAGCAAUCCUAGCUAGCCAUCCUAGCUAGCAAUCCUACCUAGCCAUCCUAAAUAUCUUUACUAGCUAGCAAUCCUACCUAGCCAUCCUAAAUAUCUUUACUAGCUAGCUAUCCUACCUAGCUACCACAAUAUGGAGCAUUAUAACUUUACCCUAAUAAUUAAUAAUUAGUAUUAAUUUGUGCUCCAAAAAUUUACCGCCUUACAUAAAAACAUGUAUAUUCGUUAUUCUACAAGAAAAACAACAAAUCUUACAAUACCCCAAAAAUUUCCCGCCUGGGGGAAGUAAGACAAGGUCUUAAAAUUCUCUAAAACGUCCAAAAAUAGAAUAAAAAUUUUAACCUCUGACCUUUUUUAUGACCUUAAUAUACGUUUGCUGGCCUUAAUAAGUUAUUUUAUAUAUUCCUGAGCAGUAUGAAGAACCCUUCAUUUUGGUGUAUCACAUUUCCCUAUCGGAGAGGAGUCCCUGUGAUUGUUUUAUACCUUGAAUUUUAUAAACUAUUUUUAUUGAAAACAAAAUUGAAAUCGGUUGAUUAAUUUGACUAUAUAUCGUAAUUUUGAAUAAAUUAUACCCCAUACAAUGAAAGAUUUUAAUUCAGAUCAUUGUAUUAUUAUGCACACUUUUCUGUGUGGACGUGCUCUGGUGCUAAGUGUUGGAAAGGCCCGUGCACCGCACCAAGUUGAGGCGAGUUGAGCUAUCUAUCUAACAAAGCUACAUUUCUUAUCGUGUGCAUUGUGCGGACCGACUCUGGUAGAAGAAAAUGCACUUUUUUUUAUUUACCACAACGAAUCAAGCAUACGACAAGCCUUUGUUAAUUCAUUUCGACUUUAUCUCAGGACUCACUCUUCACUUUAUUUGCAAUUAUUUACUAUACAAACAAGCAGUUAUUUACUGACUCAAUUUGAGACCUCUUCUCCCAAAUAUAUGGGGUAGCAGUAUGUAUUUGUAUGUACAUACAUGUGAGCAAUAAAAGCACCAACAACGUUAUACAUACACAUGUAACAAGUCCACAUAAAAGCAAUUCUGCACAGAUUAAGUGAGAUUGAGAUUGAAUUAACUUUUCGAAGAAGAGGAAGCAAGAAACCGGCGAGAGAAUGACAUGCAAAUCUGUCUCGAACCUGGACGAUUUCCAAUUAAUCCGACAUUAGAUAUCAUCAUGUAUGUACUAUAACUUAAGGUGGAUAACUUCUUCUUAUCUUAUCUGCCGGGUUGUUAAGUAUUUCUUUCUAAAUAAAUUCAUUAUGUUCUAAAAAAUAAGUCUUUUUUAACUCUUCUGUGAACUGUGAAUAAACUUUUGCAAAGUUUUUUUUUCUUUGCAAACUAAGACAA